GUCACCAGUGGAGGAUACCAGCCCAGCCUUCUAGGAGCUUCUUGAUUCCUCAGCAUAGGACUAAUACUUUUGGAGGAGGAAAUAAUUAGACCCAGCCAACCUGCCAAUCAUCUGUCUAUGUGCUGCUCACGAGCAAGACCAUCACUAAAUAGGAUUGAACGUUAGGGUUUUUGGUUACUGCAUAAAUGUUUGUAAAUCAGUUGACUACA